AUCUUUUUUUAAGCCGGCACUCUUUCCUUUUGCAAGCAGUACACUGAACUUUUCUAAUUUAAAAACAUAUUUCCAGUUGUACGUUAUUUAACAAUUGAAUUGCGCAUUAAAAUAUAGUGAAAGGUAUCUUUAACUUUUAUAAGAUUUAAGUGAACAAAAUUAAUUAUGGAGACAAAGUGUGGUGUUGGAUGCCAGUGUAAUCAAUGCAAAUGUUGUGAUGUGUCCAAAACAAGAGAUUCAUGCUGUGACAAAACUGGUAGCAAAGACUGCUGUUGCAUAAAUAGCUCUUGUUGUAAAGAAUCUGGUUGUAAUAUCGCUAAACAAGGUACAGGCGACUGCAACUGCGCCGAUUGCAAAUGCUGUUCAACUGCGACCUGCCAAACGAAAAGCCCAAGUUGCAAGUGUGAUGUAUGUACAUGUUGUCAAAAGUCUGGUGGUACUGACUGUCAUUGUGGGAAAUGCAAGUGUUGCCCAUCAGCAAAAUCUUAAAAUUCAAGGUUUAUUUAUGCCUAAGAAAAUUUGUUCUAAAUUUCAAACAUUGCUAUAAAAAUCGUUUUUUGCAAAAAUUACUGAAUGAGUAGCAGAAUAUUUUCCAAUAUGUGUAGUUGAGGAAUAAAAAAUAAAAGAAUUAAUAAAUAUAUGAAUAUUUAAUCACCUUAUUGCAUAGAUCAAAUAUAAUAUAAGGUUAAUCCACAAAGAAAAUUUAAUAUCAAGUAAACUGUUUAACUAUUUUAUAGAAGCAGAAAUAAAAUUUUUAUUAUUAUAAAAUUCAUAAAAGUAAUUAUAAUUUUACAGAUACAUUAAUUGCAUUCUAGAACUCUUUCUCAUGAUUUAAACAAAUUAUUGUGCAUGUACUCAAAUUCCUAAUGUCAAAAUCUGAAUAAUUUAUAUCAUGCACAAUCUCACACAUUGAUGAAUUGAAUGUAACAUUCAAUUCAAUGCUAUUAGAAACGUAAGUUCAUUGAAAAACGUAAUUUUGUAUCAUAGCUAUCUUCUUUAAUACAUUUUGUGGAUGUAUAGGUAGGAGAAAAGCAAAGAAAAUGCAAUUUGUUUUCAGCUGCUUUCACCUUCAUUACAAGUCAUACUAAGCCAUGAAAGUAAGAAAGAACCAUUCUUACCUCUAAAAAGCACUAGGCACUUUUCAGGAAUUAUGUAAGACAUUGGUCUAAUAGUUUUUCAUUUCUUUCAUUCAUUUUUCCCUCUGAAAAAGGUUUCCUUAUGUACUGUUUGUGUUCCUUACAAAUGAUAUUCCACCAUAUUUUUGAUUAAUACUGUAUUAGAUUUUUUAAUAUAUGAACAUUUAUCAAUAAAAAAAUCAAUGUAA